GUUUCCCGUAGCUUAAUUAUUAAUUCAAAGCACAGCACUGAAGCUGCCCUGAUGGACCCUACACCUCCCGGAAACA
rnacentral:tRNA from 1 species